rnacentral:rRNA from 1 species
ACGGAAUAGAUACCCGGGUAGUCCCAGCCGUAAACGAUGCUCGCUAGGUGUCAGGCAUGGCGCGACCGUGUCUGGUGCCGCAGGGAAGCCGUGAAGCGAGCCACCUGGGAAGUACGGCCGCAAGGCUGAAACUUAAAGGAAUUGGCGGGGGAGCACAACAACGGGUGGAGCCUGCGGUUUAAUUGGACUCAACGCCGGACAACUCACCGGGGGCGACAGCAAUAUGUAGGCCAAGCUGAAGACUUUGCCUGAAUCGCUGAGAGGAGGUGCAUGGCCGUCGCCAGUUCGUACUGUGAAGCAUCCUGUUAAGUCAGGCAACGAGCGAGACCCGUGCCCACUGUUACCAGCAUGUCCUUUGGGAUGAUGGGUACUCUGUGGGGACCGCCGGUGUCAAAUCGGAGGAAGGUGCGGGCCACGGUAGGUCAGUAUGCCCCGAAUCUCCCGGGCUGCACGCGGGCUACAAUGAAUGGGACAAUGGGUCCUUCCCUGAAAGGGUUGGUAAUCUCACAAACCCAUCCUUAGUUCGGAUUGAGGGCUGUAAC